rnacentral:rRNA from 1 species
UACGUAGGGUGCAAGCGUUAAUCGGAAUUACUGGGCGUAAAGCGCACGUAGGCGGCUUUCUAAGUCGGGGGUGAAAUCCUGGAGCUCAACUCCAGAACUGCCUUCGAUACUGGAGAGCUCGAGUCCGGGAGAGGUGAGUGGAACUGCGAGUGUAGAGGUGAAAUUCGUAGAUAUUCGCAAGAACACCAGUGGCGAAGGCGGCUCACUGGCCCGGUACUGACGCUGAGGUGCGAAAGCGUGGGGAGCAAACAGG